UGACUGGUGAUUAGGUAUGUGAUUUCUCAUGUGUGAAAUAUAAAAUAGUACAUUAUUUUUAAUGUUGACUGUUGACGCUGACGCCGCGCGAUUUCACCCGCGUGGUUCUCGUUAACGUAGGAAUACGGGAUAAUAUAAUAUAACCUAUAGACUACCUCGAUAAAUAGGCUAUCUAACACUGGAAGAAUUUUUCAAAUCGGACCAGUAGUUCCUGAGAUUAGCGCGUUCAAUCAAACAAACAAACUCUUCAGCUUUAUAUAUUAGUAUAGAUAUAGAUACAGAAUAAAAUUAUUUAAAAAAAAAUACAAUAAAGGUGUCAAGUAAUUCGUACACGAUUGUAAUGGCAUCAACAUGUUGCUAUGGUUACGCGUGGCACAUCUUACAUACGUCACUAAUACCCGAAAAUGCGUUGCUGCGUUUAGUUCAACUUAAAGACGGCGCACUAUACCAAACUAUGCACCCAAUUUUAAUACGGACGAUGCCGCAUGCAAAAACUGGUAUGUACAAAUACAAAUUAUAUUAGGUUUUUAUCUUUAGCAUGCGUUAAAAAUAGUAAAUUAAUUUUUUACACUGUGUUAGCUUAUGAAUAAAUACGUAGUGUGGUUUUCUUUUUGAUUAUUUUUGUAGUGGUUUUUAUUUGUUACAAGUGUAACUGCAAGGUUUUGUCGUUAACAUGAAGUUUCUUGGUUUCUUAUUACUUAGUAUUGUAGCUCUAUGUACUUUAUUUAUUAAUCAAGUGGAGUCACAGGUGAACCCGAUACAGUUCGCCACGUGCACGAGCAAUGCGGACUGUACCCGGAUGUGCAACAGGAGGUGUGACCCCGGCGCCACUUCCGGCCUCUGCAUGAGCAGUGUGUGCUACUGUGCCUUACGCUCUAACGCCUGACCUUUGGGACCUUUUGACCAUUAGGACUCUAUACUGACUCGUAAUUCAAUGGAUGAAAUAUAAAAAG